UGAAAAGCAAUUAAUUCAUUGAAAGAGUUAAGGACAUGUAUACCCUGGGAAGUUUGGUGUAGUUACACCACCAACUUACGUGCGUAGACUAGAAAAAAAACGAAUCAUUGCCUCACGUUAUAAGAGAACGAAAAGAAAUAGUCCUUAAUUGUGGAUAAUUAAAUAUACGAAUUCUUUCGUUUUUUAAGUUGCCAUAUAACGCCUAUUUUGCCUAUUUUUGUUAAAAAGCUAGCAAGGCGUAAAUCUAUCAUUUCUCGCUACGAUUUGAGUAUGCAUAAUCAAGCCAAAAUUAUUUCUGUUAAAAAUGUUAAACCCAUAAAAUUACUAUAAAGGAGGUAUUUGUAUAAAGAAAAUUAGAAAAACCGUUAGCAAUUAAUAAAAAGUAUAUAUUAUUAUGACUUUCCUAUUUAUUUCAUACAACAAGCGAACUGGAAGACAGUUAGACUCAUAAUAUUUUGCCAUUAAUCAGAUUAUGCAUUCUCCAAUGUAAAGAAAUUUAGCAUAAGAAUUUUCAAACAGAAUUUAUCAACUUACAGUGCUAACAUAUGACACUAUUUCUUCUAAUCAGACCAGACUUGACGAAGGAACUCUUCCAUGUCCACAUGAAUUCUCUCAAACGCUUUAACCCAAGGAUGGGUAAGCAUUUUUUGGGGUCCAGGACGAC